rnacentral:rRNA from 1 species
UCAAGUCAUCAUGGCCCUUACGUGUAGGGCUACACACGUGCUACAAUGGCAAGUACAGAGGGAAGGCGAGACAGUGAUGUGGAGCGGACCCCUUAAAGCUUGUCGUAGUCCGGAUUGGAGUCUGCAACUCGACUCCAUGAAGUCGGAAUCGCUAGUAAUCGCAGGUCAGCAUACUGCGGUGAAUACGUUCCCGGGCCUUGUACACACCGCCCGUCACACCAUGGGAGUGGGAUGCAAAAGAAGUA